UGGUUAUGCUGCUAACAGCUUAUCAAUUUACCUGUUAGUUUGGUUUUUGAAAGAUUCGGUUCGGUCUGGCUCACAAAUAGGAGCAUACAGUUCGGUUUCCAAGAAUGUACAAACCAGAUACGGAUCUACAACUGCCGGAAAUUUGUUCGAUGGAUCUCUGCCUAUCAGGAACUGUUUCAAUUCUACAACAAAUGCAUGCCGCUCGAAACCCCAAAAACAAGGAAUUGUGGGCUUUCCGAUGCUUGCUGCUUUGGAUUAUGCUACUCCCAGGAUUGGUUAUUGUUACACAGCAGGACCGGUGUUUAUGGAACUUCCAGGUGUGAAUAGAACGUGUCGGACUAUUCUUUCGGAUAUGUUCAAUAAUCCUCACUUGAAUUGCAGGAGUUCAUGAACUAGCAGCUAACCAGCUUCGGUGAGGUGCUCUCCCAUGCCAGAAUACUGUUAAGUGUUAAUAUCACCAUCAAUUAGCGUUGUUGAAUAUGAACUGAUUUUGUUAUAGUUUUUUCAUGUCUGAUAAUACAUAACCGAAUUAUAUGAUAAGGA